AAAAGAAGCAAAACACUGAGGAUUCUAAAGAAAGUUCUCGACAUAUUACCAAGGAGAAGAAGAGGAAGAAAACUAAGUCUGUUGAAGAUGGAUCACUAGAAAAGGUUCGUGAAGGAGGAGCAGGAUCGAGGGAGCACGAGGAAAUUAGUAGUCCUCCUGAAAGACUUUCACCCAAGAGAUCAUCUAAGAAAGUAAAAUUUUCAGAAGAUGUGGAGAUUUUUCCAUUAGUUGAUGUUGAAAGUAGUGGGAAAACUAAGCAAGAUGAUGGUUUAAUUAGAGGCAAGCGG
rnacentral:misc_RNA from 1 species